rnacentral:lncRNA from 1 species
AAAGCCGUUAAACUCUGUAAAUGAAAAAACCUUGAAACAAAAAAACUUUUUAACUGACUGUCCUUAGAGCAAGUGGUAAAAGACUUGAUGGUUGGUAUUCGAGAUUCCAAGUUCGAAUCCUAAUUGAUUCACAUUUCUAGCUAAGUUUAUUUUUAAAUGAAAUAAACGAAACGGGUAGCGUGCUACCUGUCUCUCAAAAAAAAAAAAAAAAAGUUUGUUUUAAAAAAGAAAAUUAAAUUUUUAUAGGAGUUUUAUUAAUUUGAUAUGACUUGGUUUAGUAAAUCUAGUUUCACCUACGAAAGAUAAAGACGUUUUAUUUUUUUUAAUUUUUUAUUUAGUUACUACAAUCCUAGAAUCAUAAUUUAUUUAUAAAAAAUUAAAACUAAAAAUAGUGAGCAAUUAUUUUACUUGUACAAUAUCAUAAUAAGUUAUAAUAUUAUAAUAAGUUAUAACAGUACAAGAAUUAUUUUUUAAAAAAAUUAUGUGGAUAGUUUGGUGACGAUGCGGACGUUGAAAGUUUGGUCUUACGUCACUUCAAAUAUGACUUGGCCCAAUCCGACCUCACGUCAUUUCGAACGUGAUUCGACCCACUUGGUCUCCCUCCACAGGGUAGGAUGUUCGCCCAUUUAAGCCACCAUUUAAAUAAACAAUUUCCUCCUCGGUAUCUGCAUAUACUUGCAGCAUGCGGAAAUCGAACCCGCUAACCAUUAAUCCCAAAAGCUCAGUCGUUAGAAAUACACAACCAAUUCACUUAAAGUGUAUAGAUACAACGCCCGCGGAUUUCGAUUGUGACUCGGUCUAUUCAGCCUUAUGCUCGAACAUGACUCGGUCCAACUCACUCUCACGCAAUUUUGAACAUGACUCGGCCCACUUGGCCUCCCGCCACAUGGCAUAAUGUUGGCCCAUUUAAGCCAACGGCGUUAAAUUUAAAGUAUUAAAUUUGAUACUAAAUUUUAUUAUUAAAUUUUAUAAAAUUAAAAUAAUAAUUAGAUUGGAUAAAAUUUUUAA